AUUGAACGCUGGCGGCAGGCCUAACACAUGAAAGUAGAGCGGAGCGGCGGACGGGUGAGUAAUGCCUAGGAAUCUGCAUGGUAGUGGGGGAUAACGUCCGGAAACGGGCGAUAAUACCGCAUAAUAUCAGAUGAGCCUCGGUCGGCUGAGCUCACUGGUGGGGUAAAGGCCUACCAAGGCGACGAUCCUUAACUGGGCUGAGAGGAUGAGCAGUCACACUGGAACUGAGACACGGGCCAGCCUCCUACGUGAGUCAGCAGUGGUGAAUAUUGGACAAUGGGCGAAAGCCUGAUCCAGCCAUGCCGCGUGUGUGAAGAAGGUCUUCGGAUUGGAAAGCACUUUAAUUUGGGAGGCGUUACCAACAGAAUAAGCACCGGCUAACUUCGUGCCAGCAGCCGCGGUAAUUC
rnacentral:rRNA from 1 species